rnacentral:rRNA from 1 species
UUUGGACAAUGGGGGAAACCCUGAUCCAGCCAUCCCGCGUGUUCGUUGAAGGCCUCCGGGUCGUAAAGUACUUUUGGCAGAGAAGAAAAGGUAUCUCCUAAUACGAGAUACUGCUGACGGUAUCUGCAGAUGAACCACCGGCUAACUACGUGCCAGCCGCCGUGGUAAUACGUCGGGUGCAAGCGUUAAUCGGAAUUACUGGGCGUAAAGCGUGUUUAGGCGGUUCGGAAAGAAAGAUGGGGAAUCCCAGGGCUCAACCUUGGAACUGCAUUUUUAACUGCCGAGCUAGAGUAUGUCAGAGGGGGGUAGAAUUCCACGUGUAGCAGUGAAAUGCGUAGAUAUGUGGAGGAAUACCGAUGGCGAAGGCAGCCCCCUGGGAUAAUACUGACGCUCAGACACGAAAGCGUGGGGAGCAAACA